rnacentral:lncRNA from 1 species
GCCAAAAAAUGUCAAAAUUUAAGUACAAAGGGCACAGGGUAAUGGCGAGAGCCCCCUGAUCUAAUAUUAUGCAGCCAUUUAGUCAAUACAAAUGUGACUAAAAGGAAUUUGGGUACACUUCCUGUCUUUCAUGUUUACGGAGCGCCCAUGAGUGCCAGUAGGAUAUUCAAAAUAUAUAGCGAAAACCUACCGAGGCCGUCUAAAUGAGGUUGACACCCCCCUGGUAUAUCAAUGUCCAUAAAAUUCAACCAAAUCAUUGACUCUGUAUAUAUAAAGGUUUUAUAGAUGGAUUUUCCAGAAUAACGUCAUCUUCAAUAUCUACGGAGGGCUUACAUUGUCACUUUUCAGCCCA